GAUGAACUCUGGCGGCAGGCCUAACACAUGCAAGUCUAACGAGUGGCUGACGGGUUAGUCAUUUCUGGGAAACUGCCCGCUGGAGGGGGAUAACUACUGGAAACGGUAGCUAAUACCGCAUACCAUCUGAUGUGCCCACAUGGGAUUAGCUAGUAGGUGGGGUAAAGGCUCACCUGGGCGACGAUCCCUAGCUGGUCUGAGAGGAUGACCAGCCACACUGGAACUGAGACACGGUCCAGACUCCUACGGGAGGCAGCAGUGGGGAAUAUUGCACAAUGGGCGCAAGUCUGAUGCAGCCAUGCCGCGUGUAUGAAGAAGGCCUUCGGGUUGUAAAGUACUUUCAGCUAGGAGGCGUUACUCGCAGAAGAAGCACCGGCUAACUCCGUGCCAGCAGCCGCGGUAAUUC
rnacentral:rRNA from 1 species